UACGAAGGGUGCAAGCGUUACUCGGAAUUACUGGGCGUAAAGCGUGCGUAGUUGGUUUGUUAAGUCUGUUGUGAAAGCCCCGGGCUCAACCUGGGAAUGGCAAUGGAUACUGGCAAGCUAGAGUGCGGUAGAGGGUAGUGGAAUUCCCGGUGUAGCGGUGAAAUGCGUAGAGAUCGGGAGGAACACCAGUGGCGAAGGCGGCUACCUGGACCAGCACUGACACUGAGGCACGAAAGCGUGGGGAGCAAACAGG
rnacentral:rRNA from 1 species